CUAAAGAGCUGAAAUCUCAAAGAGCUGAUAAUCACUAAGAGCUGAUAUCACUUGAGCUUGCUUACGUUGCCUGUGGUUAGCAGCUGCUUGGGAACUCGGACGCUGUGCUGAGCCCCACUGAGUUAUCCUGGCCAAGGCAGCCCAGCGGGCACAGCCCGGCUGGAAGCCGCCCAACAGACCACAAAGCAUGGAGCUGAGCUGUGACAGGCAAGAACCCACUUGAAGUGUCAGCUACUUUUUCUCAUCUGUUUCAUUUGAUGUGCUAUGACUUCGGUUCCGGUGCAAUUUCUCAAAGCAGCUCAGUGGUUUUACACUUGUGCACUUCCACAGAAGAGGGGUUUGCCCUUUUCUUCAAUUUCUUUGGCCAAGGCAGCAGCUGGGGCAGCACAAAGUGACGACUCUGGUGACAAGUCAAUUUGUUCUUCCAAGUGCUUUUAAGUGUAAGAAUAGCAACUGACACACAACCUGAGAAGCCAUUGAGAGAAAUUAGCUCCCUUCUAUUAGGCCAGUAUUGUAGUGAUGGGACCCAUUGAAAACCUUGGAAUUCCACAUUAGCUGAUCUUUUCUUUUACCAUAAUUGUCACAAACAGAAUUUUUUCAUUGAUUUUGGACUUUUCCUCUGAAACAAAGGAGUCCUCAAGGUGCUUAGCAAUUCUGAGACAAAAGCAUUUACACAUUAAAACUUAAAGAGAUUUUCCCAAGAUCCAGUCUAAAACAGUUUAUAAAGGUCAUAAAAAUUAACUUAUCUUGCUAACUGAAGUUUUUUUAAUGAACUACAUCUUACAAAGGAAUCACAGCCGGAAACCUUUAGGCCAGUAUUAUACUAUAUUUUCCUCCCAUUAGCAAGGACAGCAAAUAUCUACACUUGGAUUUUGCCACAGCAACUGGCUCUGAUUCAUCAGUCUUCGUGACUGAAUAUAAAAGCACAGAACUAGUUGGCUUCCACAACCCAGCCAUGAAAGCAGGAAUUAUACUGCUACCAGAAAACCUGAAUUCUAGCACCCAGAUAUUCAAGCAUCUGGAGGAGAUGCACAUGACAGAGAAGCUGAACCUACAACCAGAUGAUUCCAGAGGUACAAUUUGUAUGUUCCACAAAGGCAACAGGCAUGACUGCUGUCUGAAGCAUGCUUAAUGGAGGAAAACGUUUUGAUUUUAAACAGCACGAGUGAAAAAAUCCAACACAAUUUUGGUAAAUUGCUACUGGAGCUAUUUUCUCCCAUAGUAUUAUUUCUUCAGUUCCACAUAGAAAGUUUGUACCCUGUGAUCCAGACCUGUGUUUCUGUUCCCUGCUGAAAAUUCUGUUCCCUGCUAUGAUUUGUUCUUUCUGCCAGGUUACCAAGAGGGUAAAUGUGUUGGAGCCAAGAAUCAGCCCCAACAGGUCCUGCUGACAACUCAUUCCCUACUCAGGAAUGAGCAGCUGCUCAGAAACAGCUUCUGAGAUUUAAUCUUUCCAGUGUUUCAGGCAAUACCAAGUGCUGCCCUCACUUUUCACCAUCCUGGUUUCUUCAUAGUCUCAACAUAAUUUAAGUACAUUUCAAGAUUAUUAUGAAGGAAGUCCUCAGUCACUUCUUGAGCAGUUAUUGAAAAAACAAAUGAGCAGAUCUUUUAGACCCCCUAGCCCACCAUUUCAGAAGCAUCCACCUCAAUGCUGUUAUUUGACAACCUUUCCACUGCUGGAAUGGAAAGCCAGAUCAACAUCACAUGAUGACCAUCUGACCUUUAAUGCAAAUACAGAAUAGAGACUUGAUAAGAUUUCUUAUCUCGAGUUUUAUUUCUCUCCAGCAACAGACUAAUACU